CUUUUUGGUCGUAGUGUUUCGUCACAGGAACCCUAACUAAGACAAGCUCCAAUAUAUAAGAUAAAUAAAAGGGUCAACAUAAGAGGAAACAGACAAUACUGUGUCCAUGGACAGCACUGGUAUUGGACUCUUCCUGGGAGAUCAGUCACUUACGAUUCCAAUUUUGACAGGUAACACUGUUUGAAGGUAGCUCAGAAUCAGUACCCUUAAGAAGGGGCACUGACAUGUGUGCAUCUGCUAUGAGCGUUACAGAAGAUGCUGGGCUGUGACCAGAUCUGCCUGCACAUCUGUAAAGGUAAUCAUUUUAUCCAAAUCCGAAGAGGGCUUCAAAGAACACUGCAGGGGGGACAAAUAACUACGGAUUCUGUUUACUCAAAGACAGAACAACAGGAGGUGGUGAGGCAGGUGAGACAGAGACAGAGACAAGUCAGAGGGAUAGAGAUUGCUGUAGUUUCUUACCUCACCUCAGCUCUGCCAAAUGUUGCAAAAGCAACAGUGUGCAUGGAUAUUGUUGUACCCGUCUCUUCUCAUGUUAGCCUUUCCCCCACCCUGAGACAAUGUUUGAUUGCCUGUAAUAAAGGCCUUGCCCUGUGGCUGAUUA
rnacentral:lncRNA from 1 species